rnacentral:rRNA from 1 species
UCGGGAAUAUUGCGCAAUGGAGGAAACUCUGACGCAGUGACGCCGCGUAUAGGAAGAAGGUUUUCGGAUUGUAAACUAUUGUCGUUAGGGAAGAAAAAAGACAGUACCUAAGGAGGGAGCUCCGGCUAACUACGUGCC